rnacentral:rRNA from 1 species
ACUCCUACGGGAGGCAGCAGUGGGGAAUAUUGCACAAUGGGCGCAAGCCUGAUGCAGCCAUGCCGCGUGUGUGAAGAAGGCCUUCGGGUUGUAAAGCACUUUCAGUCGUGAGGAAGGUAGUGUAGUUAAUAGCUGCAUUAUUUGACGUUAGCGACAGAAGAAGCACCGGCUAACUCCGUGCCAGCAGCCGCGGUAAUACGGAGGGUGCGAGCGUUAAUCGGAAUUACUGGGCGUAAAGCGCAUGCAGGUGGUUUGUUAAGUCAGAUGUGAAAGCCCGGGGCUCAACCUCGGAAUUGCAUUUGAAACUGGACAGACUAGAGUACUGUAGAGGGGGGUAGAAUUUCAGGUGUAGCGGUGAAAUGCGUAGAGAUCUGAAGGAAUACCGGUGGCGAAGGCGGCCCCCUGGACAGAUACUGACACUCAGAUGCGAAAGCGUGGGGAGCAAACAGGAUUAGAUACCCUGGUAGGAUAGCG